rnacentral:rRNA from 1 species
UGCGAGCGUUAAUCGGAAUUACUGGGCGUAAAGCGCACGUAGGCGGCUUGGUAUGUCGGGUGUGAAAUCCCCGGGCUCAACCUGGGAACUGCAUCCGAAACUGCCUUGCUAGAGUAUGGGAGAGGGAAGUGGAAUUUCCGGUGUAGCGGUGAAAUGCGUAGAUAUCGGAAGGAACAUCAGUGGCGAAGGCGACUUCCUGGACCAAUACUGACGCUCAGGUGCGAAAGCGUGGGGAGCAAACAGG